AGCAGCCGCGGUAAUUCCAGCUCCAAUAGCGUAUAUUAAAGUUGUUGCAGUUAAAAAGCUCGUAGUUGAAUUUCGGGAUUGGCGCAUCGGUCGUGCCUCACGGGGUAUGAACUGGUGCAGUCAAUUUCUCACCUUCUGGAGAACCGCGAUGUCCUUAAUUGGGUGCCGCGGGGAACCAGGACCUUUACUUUGAAAAAUUAGAGUGUUUAAAGCAGGCAUUUUUGCUUGAAUACAUUAGCAUGGAAUAAUAAAAUAGGACGGCAUGGUUCUAUUUUGUUGGUUUCUAGGACCACCGUAAUGAUUAAUAGGGAUAGUUGGGGGCAUUAGUAUUCAAUUGUCAGAGGUGAAAUUCUUGGAUUUAUUGAAGACUAACUACUGCGAAAGCAUUUGCCAAGGAUGUUUUCAUUAAUCAAGAACGAAAGUUAGGGGAUCGAAGACGAUCAGAUACCGUCGUAGUCUUAACCAUAAACUAUGCCGACUAGGAAUCAGACGAUGUUAAUUUUUAAUGUACUCGUUUGGC
rnacentral:rRNA from 2 species